ensembl:lncRNA
CAAGAAUGGACGACAGAGACAGGACUACCGUUCACAGGACUAUUUAUUUAACGUAACGGUAAUUCAGGGAAAAGGGGCUGGACGGAACCAAAGCAAAGAACAUAAAGACAGCAACACAGACCGAUAGCAACAGCAGGUGUGACUCUCCUGUGAGAUACCAGAACUGUGGCUUAUAUGCAGGCUAAACCAGCUGCAAGCACUGACGAGCGGGCGUAGGGGCUCUCCAAUCAGCCCCAAACCGACCAAUCAGCUGCAACCAGCGAUCAGGAAGCCAAUUAGCCUGCAACCACCACAUAGAACACCAAGGGACAAAAACACACACGAACACAGAACAAAAGAAGGCACCAGGGACGUAACAGCCUCACACACACAGUGCUGGAGAUCACCCUAUGAAUGGCAGACAAGGGGAUUUGAGAAACGUGUCAAGCCACUCCAGAUGACCCAUGUUAUGCUGUCGGAGGCCCAUCCCGUACCUCCUUUCUUCCCUGCCAGAACAAACCUUAAACACCUCCUGGAACAUGUUCCCCAUGAAUGAACCAGAUUGGGGACAGGUGGAGCUGAUUGGGUCGUUGACAGGUUGCACCUGGGUGUGGGACCAACUAGAAGAGAAACGUUCCUGGUGGCCGGUCCUGGAUGGUUCUCUCCCCACAAGGACUAUGUUGUUUUGUGAUUUGGUUGUUGUGUUUUAAUUAGGUUUGCCCCUCCACAUUUUACACUUGUCUAGGAUUCUCCACUCAUAUGUCUACUUUCAUACUUCACAGGUCUGUUUUUAUACUUUUUGCUACUGUUUUAAUGCCAACAUGUGGACUCACCAUCUGAGAGCCAGGUUGUGACAAUAUAACCUUCAAUAUGCAUUCUAUCCAUUUUUCUUUUAACGAAGUGAUCACUGAUUAGGAUUGUAUUUAGAGUUUGUGUCAAUAAUAUUCAUUAGAUCAACAUAUGUAGAUGUACUGGUAUCUAAGUAUCAGUUUGACAAGUUAUUAUUGGUUAGAUCAGAGGUAUCAAACCAAUUUCAUGGAGGGCUGGUUUUCGCCCUCUCCUUGUACUUGAUUGGUUCGUAUCUACCCUCACCUGGUUGUUUAGGUCUGAACUGGGAACCAAUUUAUAGGAAAAACCUGCAGACACUCGUCCCUCCGUGGAACCGUUUUGACACCCCUGGGUUAGAUGCAAACUGCAUUUAGUUGUACUGUGCUUGUUCAAUGACACACUUGAAUCUAAUCUAUUCAAGCAGCAUAUUUCAUUUUCUAUAAGGGCAACAGUUAUAUUUUACCUCACUCAGAUGCAGGUAAUCCCUGAGAAGUACAAAUGAAGUCCCAAAGCAUUGACCGUCUCACUGCUGGUUUAACUAUUUCUGCUUGUUUAUAGGACAAAGUCAACCAUUGCAUUAAACCCACAGUGUUAAGUCACUCCAUGAUUUCCAUAUCAACCAUUCCCCAGGUUUCACAUGCCCAUGUGAUACUGCUGAAACUAACAGUAAUUUAUUAUUUUCAAGUAAAAAUGUAAGAAACUGGUAACUGACUGACCAUUCAUAAUUAUUCAGACCACCUAUUAAAGACUGGAGAUAGAUUUAUUAGGUGUGAUUCAGAAAUGUAAUGACAUUAUACACAUUUGUAUGUGAUUAUUUUAUAUCUUACUCCCAGUGCUCAUCAUACCUCAAUAAGAAUCAUGUACAUCAGUUAUAAUUCAUGAGGCGACCAUAGUCUACACACCCACAACAACAUUUCUGUCGUGUUACAUACAAGGAUUAUGUUGGACAAUUAUUAUGUUAUUUUGGACAAUUGUUUUCAUGUCUUUAACUUUUCUUUUAAUAAAGUGAAUAAGAAUGA